CACAGAGAAGCUUGCUUCUUGGGUGGCGAGUGGCGAACGGGUGAGUAAUAUAUCGGAACGUACCGAGCAGUGGGGGAUAACUAAUCGAAAGAUUAGCUAAUACCGCAUAUUUUCUGAGGAAGAAAGCAGGGGACCAUUUGGCCUUGCGCUGUUUGAGCGGCCGAUAUCUGAUUAGCUAGUUGGUGGGGUAAAGGCCUACCAAGGCGACGAUCAGUAGCGGGUCUGAGAGGAUGAUCCGCCACACUGGGACUGAGACACGGCCCAGACUCCUACGGGAGGCAGCAGUGGGGAAUUUUGGACAAUGGGCGCAAGCCUGAUCCAGCCAUGCCGCGUGUCUGAAGAAGGCCUUCGGGUUGUAAAGGACUUUUGUCAGGGAAGAAAAGGGCGGGGUUAAUACCCCUGUCUGAUGACGGUACCUGAAGAAUAAGCACCGGCUAACUACGUGCCAGCAGCCGCGGUAAUACGUAGGGUGCGAGCGUUAAUCGGAAUUACUGGGCGUAAAGCGGGCGCAGACGGUUACUUAAGCAGGAUGUGAAAUCCCCGGGCUCAACCUGGGAACUGCGUUCUGAACUGGGUGACUAGAGUGUGUCAGAGGGAGGUAGAAUUCCACGUGUAGCAGUGAAAUGCGUAGAGAUGUGGAGGAAUACCGAUGGCGAAGGCAGCCUCCUGGGAUAACACUGACGUUCAUGCCCGAAAGCGUGUGUAGCAAACAGGAUUAGAUACCCUGGUAGUCCACGCCCUAAACGAUGUCGAUUAGCUGUUGGGCAGCAUGACUGCUUAGUAGCGAAGCUAACGCGUGAAAUCGACCGCCUGGGGAGUACGGUCGCAAGAUUAAAACUCAAAGGAAUUGACGGGGACCCGCACAAGCGGUGGAUGAUGUGGAUUAAUUCGAUGCAACGCGAAGAACCUUACCUGG
rnacentral:rRNA from 1 species